GUCGCUGCUGAGUUACUGACAUGAGCCAGCCCUGCAGCUGUGCCCAGCCUGCCCCAUCCCCUGCUCAUUUGCAUGUUCCCAGAGCACAUCCUCCUGCCCAGAAGACUUAUUAAUAGGCUGGUCACACUUCAUGUAGAAGUCAGAACCACUCAGGACACAGCAUGGACACGAGGGUCCCCGCUUAUCUCCUGGGGCUCCUUCUGCUCUGGCUCCCAGGUGCCAGAUGUGACAUCCAGAUGACCCAGUCUCCAUCUUCCCUGUCUGCAUCUGUAGGAGACAGAGUCACCAUCACUUGCAGGGCAAGUCAGGGCAUUAGCAAUUAUUUAAAUUGGUAUCAGCAGAAACCAGGAAAAGCUCCUAAGCUUCUGAUCUAUUCUGCAUCCCGUUUGCAAAGUGGGGUCCCAUCAAGGUUCAGCGGCAGUGGAUCUGGGACAGAAUUCACUCUCACCAUCAGCAGCCUGCAGCCUGAAGAUUUUGCUACUUAUUAUUGUGAACAGUUUAAAAAUUACCUUUCCACAGCGUUUCAAACCCGAACAAAAACCCCCAGGGAAGCAGAUGUAGAGGCUGGGCUGCCCCAGCUGUUCCUCCUGAUGCCUCCAUGGGCUGAGAGUGUUCCUCAGAUGCAGCCACACUCUGAUGGUGUCGGUAGAGGGAGACAUGAAGUCACCUCUGCACCCUAA